CCCGGAACGCAUAGGAGAAAUAAGAACGGAAAAAUGGCAAACUCCUUUGAUGACGAAUGCUGACGAUUUGCUGGAUAAUAGGUUCCAAUAAGCUACCCGGAUAUACGGCUGUCGACGAAUUCUAUCGGAGGCCGUGCUGCUGGUGUCACCAAGUUGCCUCCGGAAAACAUAACCUGAUGCGGAAAGCGAAACGGUACCGACAAUUUAUGGAAUGAAUCCUGAAUUUCAACGAAACGAGCGGAUGGUCUGCUGCUGCUGCUGAUCUGACGUUGUUUACUGCGAUUGUGGGGAUCCCGGUAUUAGGCAUCCGGAAGGCAUGGGCUGCAGGAAAGAAAACUGUCCUUUAAGUAAGGAGACUGCCGACAAUUUGCAAACGAUUUCAAUUUCCAAGAUACCUUCCGGAUGU